CCCUUAGAUGUCCUGGGCCGCACGCGCGUUACACAGAUGCAUUCAACGAGCUUAUAACCUUGGCCGAGAGGCCUGGGCAAUCUUGUUAACGUGCAUCGUGAUAGGGAUAGAUUAUUGAAAUUAUUAAUCUUGAACGAGGAAUUCCUAGUAAACGCAGAUCAUCAAUCUGCAUUGAUCACGUCCCUGCCCUUUGUACACACCGCCCGUCGCACCUACCGAUUGGAUGGUCCGGUGAAGCCUCGGGAUUGUGGUUCUUGCCGCUUUAUUGUGGCGUGACCGCGAGAACUUGUCUAAACCUUAUCAUCUAGAGGAAGGUGAAGUCGUAACA
rnacentral:rRNA from 1 species